rnacentral:rRNA from 1 species
GACGAACGCUGGCGGCGUGCUUAACACAUGCAAGUCGAACGGAAAGGCCCUGCUUUUGUGGGGUGCUUGAUUGGCGAACGGGUGAGUAACACGUGAGUAACCUGCACUUGACUUUGGGGUAACUUCUGGAAAAUGGGGCUAUUACCGGAUAGGAGAUCUUGAUGCAUGGUGGGGGUUGGUAAGUUUCGGCGGUUGGGGUUGGGAUCGCGGGUUAUGAGCUUGUUGGUGGGGUAGUGGCUUACCAAGGCUUUGAAGGGUAGCCGGCCUGAGAGGUUGGACGGCCACAUUGGGACUAAGAUACGGCCCAGACUCCUACGGGAGGCAGCAGUGGAGAACAUUGCAGAAUGGGCGGAAGCCUGAUGCAGCAACGCCGCGUGCGGGAUAACGGCCUUCGGGCGGUAAACCGCUUUCGCCUGUGACGAAGCGUGAGUGACGGUAAUGAGUAAAGAAGCACCGGCUAACUACGUG